UACGUAGGGGGCUAGCGUUGUCCGGAAUCAUUGGGCGUAAAGAGCGUGUAGGCGGUCCGGUAAGUCCGUUGUGAAAGUCAGGGGCUCAACCCCUGAAUGCCGGCGGAUACUGUCGGGCUAGAGUCCGGAAGAGGCGAGUGGAAUUCCCGGUGUAGCGGUGAAAUGCGCAGAUAUCGGGAGGAACACCAAUGGCGAAGGCAGCUCGCUGGGACGUGACUGACGCUGAGACGCGAAAGCGUGGGGAGCAAACAGG
rnacentral:rRNA from 1 species